AACCGCAAAGGGCUCAGUAAACCAGUUUUAAUUUACUAGAGUUUUUACGUUUCGUACGUGGAUACCUGUGGUAAUUCUAGAGCUAAUACAUGCAAUUAAGUCCGGACCAGCAAUGGAAAGGACGCUUUUAUUAGAUCAAAACCAUUCGCCCAACUUGUUUGGGCGUUGUUUUGGUGAAUCUAGAUAACACUUGAGAUCGUACAGUCACCGUACUGACGACAUCUCUUUCAAACGCCUGACUUAUCAGCUGUCGAUGGUAGACUCUGUGUCUACCAUGGCCCUCACGGGUAACGGGGAAUCAGGGUUCGAUUUCCGGAGAGGGAGCCUGAGAAACGGCUACCACAUCCAAGGAAGGCAGCAGGCACGCAAAUUACCCACUCCCGGCACGGGGAGGUAGUGACAAAAAAUAACGAUACGGGACUCUAAUGAGGCCCCGUAAUCGGAAUGAGUACACUUUAAAUCCUUUAACAAGGAUCCAUUGGAGGGCAAGUCUGGUGCCAGCAGCCGCGGUAAUUCCAGCUCCAAUAGCGUAUAUUAAAGUUGUUGCGGUUAAAAAGCUCGUAGUUGGUUCUGCGUGCCGCGCUGUCGGUUCGCCGCCUGUCGGUGUAACUGGCAUGUCGCGGCAUGUCCUGUCGGUGGUGAACUGGUACCCCGGUGCAAAAUUGACUUUCCAAGUCGACGUCUGCGCCGAGCGUGUUCCCGUUUGCCGAUCUCUCCUACUCCGGUGCUCUUAAACGAGUGUCGAGGUAGGCCGACACGUUCACUUUGAACAAAUUAGAGUGCUUAAAGCAGGCUGAAAUAUCUGCCUGAAUAGUGKUGGCAUGGAAUGAUAAAAUAGGACCUCGGUUCUAUUUUGUUGGUUUUAGGAAUAUGAGGUAAUGAUCAAUGUGGACUGGCGGGGGCAUUCGUAUUGCGACGUUAGARGUGAAAUUCUUGGAUCUCCA
rnacentral:rRNA from 1 species